CGGGAAACCGGAGCUAAUACCGGAUAAUAUUCGAACCGCAUGGUUCGACAGUGAAAGGUGGUUUUGCUAUCACUUAUAGAUGGACCCGCGCCGUAUUAGCUAGUUGGUAAGGUAACGGCUUACCAAGGCGACGAUACGUAGCCGACCUGAGAGGGGUGAUCGGCCACACUGGAACUGAGACACGGUCCAGACUCCUACGGGAGGCAGCAGCC
rnacentral:rRNA from 1 species